UGGGGUGUCGCCAAGCGGUAAGGCAGAAGCCUUUGGAGCUUCCAUUCGGGGGUUCGAAUCCCUCCACCCCAGCCA
rnacentral:tRNA from 1 species